AUUGAACGCUGGCGGCAUGCCUUACACAUGCAAGUCGAACGGUAACGCGGGGCAACCUGGCGACGAGUGGCGAACGGGUGAGUAAUGCAUCGGAACAUGCCCAGUAGUGGGGGAUAGCUCGGCGAAAGCCGGAUUAAUACCGCAUACGACCUACGAGUGAAAGCGGGGGACCGCAAGGCCUCGCGCUAUUGGAGCGGCCGAUGUCAGAUUAGGUAGUUGGUGGGGUAAAGGCUCACCAAGCCGACGAUCUGUAGCUGGUCUGAGAGGACGACCAGCCACACUGGGACUGGGACACGGCCCAGACUCCUACGGGAGGCAGCAGUGGGGAAUUUUGGACAAUGGGCGCAAGCCUGAUCCAGCAAUGCCGCGUGCAGGAAGAAGGCCUUCGGGUUGUAAACUGCUUUUGUACGGGAAGAAAUCGCAUGGGUUAAUACCCUGUGCGGAUGACGGUACCGGCAUAAGAAGCACCGGCUAACUACGUGCCAGCAGCCGCCGUAAUAC
rnacentral:rRNA from 1 species